rnacentral:tRNA from 1 species
GGGGCCGUAGUCUAGCUUGGGAGCAAUUUUAAAAGCAAAAAACUUAGUGGGCUUUAUGUCCGCUUUUUGAUGCAACUUUAUUAAGGUUGCUGAGCAAUAGGAUUUACCCUUGGGGUGGGUAAGGCCGGAGUUCAAAGGUAAAUAGUCUUCAUUUAAGAAUGUUUGGUGAAAGUCUCCGCGGCCCCA